ACCCUCCAGAUCCCUUUCCCAUCAGAUCGGAACACUGAUCUUGUGGUCAAAAAAGGAGGAAAAGUAAAACUGAAGCUAGCCUUUAUUCUCUGCUAGAACCAUCUUGCACUGAGGUGAGGCUGGCUUUAAACAACU
rnacentral:snoRNA from 1 species